UGGGGAAUAUUGGACAAUGGGCGCAAGCCUGAUCCAGCCAUGCCGCGUGAGUGAUGAAGGCCCUAGGGUUGUAAAGCUCUUUCACCGGUGAAGAUAAUGACGGUAACCGGAGAAGAAGCCCCGGCUAACUUCGUUCCAGCAGCCGCGGCAAUACGAAGGGGGCUAGCGUUGUUCGGAUUUACUGGGCGUAAAGCGCACGUAGGCGGACUAUUAAGUCAGGGGUGAAAUCCCGGGGCUCAACCCCGGAACUGCCUUUGAUACUGGUAGUCUUGAGUUCGAGAGAGGUGAGUGGAAUUCCGAGUGUAGGGGUGAAAUUCGUAGAUAUUCGGAGAAACACCAGUGGCGAGGGCGGCUCACUGGCUAGAUACUGACGCUGAGGUGCGAAAGCGUGGGGAGCAAACGGG
rnacentral:rRNA from 1 species